AUGCCUAAGAUAAAGAUAGGCCGUGUCGAAUAUACUGAAGGGUGGGUGCUUAUUGAACCCACAAUCUGUGAGUUGGAUGCCAAAAUUAGAGAAGCUGAAAAUGAUACACGUGACAGGAAGAGAAAGUGCGAAGCACUCUACCCAAUUUUCCGCAUUUCAAGAAGCCAUUACAUUUAUGAUCUUUUCUAUAGAAGAAGGAAUGAUAUAUCAAAGAGUGUGGUUUUCUGUAGCUCAGGGUUAUGCAGACUGUAA
rnacentral:rRNA from 1 species